GAUGAACGCUGGCGGCGUGCCUAAUACAUGCAAGUCGAACGCUUCCCUUCGGUGAAGCGUGGCGAACGGGUGUGUAAUACAUAAGUAACCUGGCAUCUACAGGGGGAUAACUGAUGGAAACGUCUGCUAAGACCGCAUAGGUGUAGAGAUCGCAUGAACUCUAUAUGAAAAGUGCUACGGGACUGGUAGAUGAUGGACUUAUGGCGCAUUAGCUUGUUGGUAGGGUAACGGCCUACCAAGGCGACGAUGCGUAGCCGACCUGAGAGGGUGACCGGCCACACUGGGACUGAGACACGGCCCAGACUCCUACGGGAGGCAGCAGUAGGGAAUUUUCGGCAAUGGGGGAAACCCUGACCGAGCAACGCCGCGUGAAGGAAGAAGUAAUUCGGUAUGUAAACUUCUGUCAUAGAGAAAGAACGGUGGAUAUAGGGAAUGAUAUCCAAGUGACGGUACUCUAUAAGAAAGCCACGGCUAACUACGUG
rnacentral:rRNA from 1 species